GAGAGAGAGAGAGAGAGAGAGAACCCCAAGCAAGCUCCACACUGUCAAUGCAGAGCCUGACAAGGGGCUCCAUCUCACUGUGUAUCUCACUGUGAGAUCAUGACCUGAGCCAAAAUCAAGAGUUGGCUGCUUAACCGACUGAACCACCCAGUUGCCCCGAGGGCAUCCUCUUCUUAAAUUCAGAGCUGCUGUUCGGAAACAUAGUCUUCCUGGUACAUGCAGACUGGAGUCUGUAAGUUCACACAAAGCUGUGAGGAUGCCUGGGGUCCAAAACACCCAAGGGGAACACAGAGGCCUGGCCAAUGCCAUUCUAGCAUCUGGUGUCCAUUGUUCAACCAAGGGAGUUUGGUUGAACAAAAGAAUCCUCUCACCAGUCAGUGUUAGGAAAAAUUAAGUAGCAUUCUUUUUUAAAUUUUUUUAAUGUUUAUUUUUUUGAGAGAGACAGAGCACAAGCAGGGCAGGGGCAGAGAAAGAGGGAGACACAGAAUCCGAAGCAGACUCCAGGCUCUGAGCUGUCAGCACAGAACCCGAUGUGGGGCUCGAACCCACGAACCUCAAGAUCACGGCCUGAGCCGAAAUCGGACACUCAACUGACGGAGCCACCCAGAUCCAGUUUCCUCCAACAGAAGCAACCACCAUUACUUGUUCCUCUCGCACCCUUCCGGAGAGAAUACAAGGAUAUCCAAGCAUAUGAGAAGACCGGGACCCAGACGGCUAAAGGGACUUGCCCAAGGUGACACAUCUCCAUAGUGUCAAAGUCUCCAGGCCUCUCACCCCAGAGUGACUUGGUGACAGCCUUUUCCACCCCCAAGCCCUCAAGUGUUCGUGAGUUCUCAAAGAAUUUGGAAAAUCAAUGUGCUGUUAUUCUAAUUUUGGUCUAUCUGCAUAUGUGACUUUGUGCUUUGGUGCUAAGAAUAGAAGACAUCAAAAUAGCGCUCUCAGCAACGCUGAGUGUACAGAAAAUUGAAGCGGAAAUGGAAAGGGUGCCCUCAGAGAGGAUGUCACAUCACCAGACUUUGGUUUUGAAGCCACCAGAAAGCAGAGAGAAGCUGUUUUUUUGAAGAGAAUUUCUUCAGCUACUGAAGGUUGGCUGAGUGUGCAUUAAGGCCUGAGCAGCAAUGCCACAUGCCUGGCAGAUGAUGGGCUCUGACCCAAAGAUAUGAGGUUACAGCUCUGGGGCAGACGAGCAGCCUGAGCUCUUUUCUCUGCCUGAUGGCCCCAGUGCCCGACUCUCUGAGGAAACGAACAGAUGGUCACCACAAGAGUCACUGAAUCUCCACAUUCAUUCAUUUUUUGGCGACCUUGGAGUUUUCCAGCUUCGAGCCAAAGAGACCAAGCCUGAAGCUCCCUUCCAGCCCCCUACUUCAGACCUGUAACUGAAUCCUGAUAGGUCAUCUCAAGCAGACAGGUGAAGGGGAAGAUAAGAAAGAAGAAAAGCAAAGAUGCUGGAGUCUUGCAGCCUAACAACACACGAGGGAUAUUGUUUGCCUGGAAGCCUCCAGGGAUGGCAAAAUGGCAGAAAUUUCCAGUGGGGAAAAUGUGGGGUGGGGGGUGGGGGUGCUAAAUUAUUUGAAUGGGACCCUUUGAAGGCUUCUGCUACCCCUACACCUGCUGAGGCUUUCCACUGAGCUUUGGGAAAAGGCUAGCUUUUCAUAGCAGAGUAGAGAAAGGGGGAGAAUGAAGGAGGCACGUAAUGCA